GGCGAACGCUGGCGGCAGGCCUAACACUUGCAAGUCGAGCGGCCGUAGCAAUACGGCAGCGGCAGACGGGAGAGUAACACGUGGGAACGCGCCCUUCGGUUCGGGAUAACCCAGGGAAACUUGGGCUAAUACCGGAUACGCCCUUACGGGGAAAGAUUUAUUGCCGAAGGAACGGCCCGCGUCCGAUUAGCUAGUUGGUGAGGUAAUGGCUCACCAAGGCGACGAUCGGUAGCUGGUCUGAGAGGAUGACCAGCCUCACUGGGACUGAGACACGGCCCAGACUCCUACGGGAGGCAGCAGUGGGGAAUAUUGGACAAUGGGCGCAAGCCUGAUCCAGCCAUGCCGCGUGGGUGAUGAAGGCCCUAGGGUUGUAAAGCCCUUUCAGCGGGGAAGAUAAUGACGGUACCCGCAGAAGAAGCCCCGGCUAACUUCGUGCCAGCAGCCGCCGUGA
rnacentral:rRNA from 1 species